UGGACAAUGGUUUAAAAAAGAAAAAUACAUUUUCUCGACUAUUCUCGUUGUUUUGGUUGAAAAGAUUUAAUAUUAAAAACCGUCAAUAAACAUGUCUAAAGAUGCUGGAAUAAAGGACGCUCGGGAGAGUAAUGAAGAGAAGAACGACUCUGCGAACUCAGAGUUGUCUAAAGCAGAACUCGAAAAAUUAGCACUUGAAGAGUAGUUGAAGGUACAAUGUGUCACAGUGUGCCUGUUGGCUAAAUAUUUGGCCUAUAGGUGGGUUUCACUCGAGCCUUGUACAUAGGGAAACGCUUGGUGGUUCACUUUAAACAUAUAGCCGCUUUAUGCCUUGUGUAAGCAAGUAAAUUUCAUUAAAUUGCAUAUACUUGAUAGUUGAUACCAAACACAAGAUCAAUACUUGUAAUGAAUAUUUAAGAUAUAAACGAAGUGGCUAUUCGGCCUUUUCGUACUGGAACAGUACAGACUGUCAGUACACCGAGUUUGAUUUGCUAUCUGUACUGCAGUCGGAAUAUUUAAGAUAAACUGACCCCAAACCCUUCUCUAACCCUGACCAAUAAAUGUCUAAUAAACUAUUUGAGAGUAUAUCCACACCGGGCAAGCUUGAAAAAUAUGCCCGGCUAUGGUAGGAGUCGAACCUAUGACCAUUGGAAUGCUAGCCCAAUGCUCUGCCAACUGAGUUACGCGGUAAUGUCGGUUUGAGUAAAUGAUAUUUUGGAACAGAAUCUAGUUCCUUCGAUACCAAUCUAGUAAUUAUCACUUAUUUACUGAGACAGAGGGAAACAGUGUGUUUUGUGGACCCGAGACCGUCGAGGGUCCACAAAACACACUAGAAUGCUUUCCCGAGGUCUCAAGGUCGGUUCAAGUAAAUGAUAUUUCGGAACAGAAUCUAGUUCCUUUGAUACCAAUGUACAGUAAUCUUUACUAGUAAUAUGAUUUUUUUUCUGUGUUGGUGUUGUGUACUCAUGUGAAUAUGAUGUUUGUGAUGUUACUCUGAGUGUGCAUCCACACCGGGCAAGCUGGAAAGUUUGCUUGACCACGGUGGGAAUCGAACCUACGGCCAUUGAAAUGCUCUGCCAACCGAGCUACGCGGUAUGGUCGGUCCAAGUAAUUGAUAUUUCGGAACAGAAUGUAGUUCCUUUGAUACCAAUGUAAUGUAGUAAUAUGAUAUUUUUUUCUGUGUUGGUGUUGUGAGCAGAGCAUUGGGCUACUAGCAGCUAGUAUUCCAAAGGUCGUGGGUUUGAUUCCCACCGUGGCCGGGGAUAUUUUUCAAGCUCGCCCGAUGUGGAUAUACAGUCACUCAGAGUAACAUACAAACAUCAUAUUCACCUGAGUACACAACACCAACACAGAUAAAAUCAAACUAUUUGAGAGUUAAAAAAGAAACACAUUUUUAAAAUAUUUUAAGAAAAAUUUCUAAGUCAAAUACGCUAGCGGCAAGCUCGCUGAAAUCUGUUGCAAAAAACUAUUUUAAUUUUAUUACUAAUUUACGAAAACGUAAGAAUCAGGUGCCAUACUCCAGUACGAAUAGCCACUUUGUUAAGAUAAAUGUGUUUCUAAUUUGGAGUUGACCAUGAAGCGCUAAACGUAUCAUGUGACUGAAACCCAGCUAUAUACUAUAACGAUCUGUGCCAGUGUAGGCAGUACCAGAUGGAUAUGGAUUCAACUACUGUACCUGAAAAAUACAAAUAAAACUUCGACGUUUCUGCCAAUGUGCCUUGCAACCCAUUAAGACCCGUUUCAGAUGGCAUCAGUUGGUCAAAUAAGAACAAGAGUUGCAUGAGAGUUGACUGACUAUUACUGCACGCAGUGAAAAUGCUCAUUAAAAUUUGAACCAGCUCAAAGUUGAUGAGAGCUGCGACUCUCAUCCACGCUGCAACAACACAAGAAUGACAGUGAUUCAAAUGGCAUACAAAAUGAUAUCAAUAAUGUUUAUAUUGACAAGGUUGCGAUUGGGCCGCAUUCACGAGCAAUUCCUAAAUAAAAAUCAAAACAAGAUGGCUAAUCUAAUGCUAACAAAUUUCAAAAAGUUGAGUGAGCAGUGUAUGAAUCAAUGUCACUCCAAUGUCGCAUAAUGCCACAUCCUCCACCAAACUUGUUUCAAACUUUUGCCUCUGGCACUGCAGAUUUUGCCGUACUGCAGUAAAUUGAUUCAUACAUCGCCCUUCUGCCAUAUCUAAUUUGUCAAUUAAUUAAAUUCAGCACAUGAAAACUAUGCCGUGUAAAAUGGGCCUGAGUUGCAAUGCGUCCAAAUGCACCCAACUGUAUUAUUGUACUCUGUCUAAUACCAGUACUCUUGUACUCUGUCUAAUACCAUUUUCACUUGCCAAAAGGAGAACCUUGUACUAAUUUAAUAUUUUCAUCCAGAAUGCAUUCCGGAUAACUGCACCAGUUCACAGGGUGUACAAAAUACGGCCCACUGAUUGGCAAAGCUUGCAAGACCGAAGACAUGAAAAUUAUAGCAUAACACUCGUCACCUGAAGCUAGUCAAUUUGUUUUUAGAGAUUUUUUGAAAAUAGAGUAAUAGAGGACAUAACAGUAGGUUACAGUAGACAAUGGCUAAGGGAGUAUGUGGGGAUGCUCUCCCAGAUAAGUUUUGAUACUUUUGAAAUCUUGAGUUUCUAAAAUGGCAUUCCCUGCAUUCUGGAGACGAUUUGAGAUGCAGAAGCUGUAACAGUUUAAUUUUGGUGGAAGGACAAUAAUUAAUUUACAAUAAUCAAUAUUUUGGCUACAACUGCGCUGCUGGUUACUGUAGAUGUGCAGAGUUCGAAUUAGCAAUGUGCAAUUUGCAUUUGUUUACAUUUUGAGCUGUUAUACUUGUUAAAUAUGAUAUUAAUACUAACUGAAUAUCUAACACUUUUCUGGUUUCCUAUGCUUGUAAAUGAAUAUAAACUCUACGUUUCAAUUCAAAUUUCAAAACAGUUAGAAAAUGCAUAAUUUGGGCAAUGUGGGUCCCCCUUUGUUGUGAGCAGAACUGAUGCGCAGAAUGGACCUUACCACAUCUGUAAUGAACACCCAUCCAUAUUUACAUAUAGAUUUAAAAACAAAGCCAACCUGUUGUCUUUACUUAUAAACUUAAAAACAAGUGCUUUUGCAUGCACAUUAGCAGCAUGGAAGAUAUCAAAUUUUAGCCACCAUGACAGACAAACACAUGAUUGAUAUGUGUGUUACUGUGUAUGUUAGGUUUGUACUGUAUUUCAAAGAUUGCAAACAUGUUUAAAAAAUAUUCAAAUAAUUAAAUUAUUGCAGUUUGAUUGAUUAUGUUUGAAUGAGUACAUGUAGCUAAGACAAUCAUGAACCAACCGGGUGUACCAAAAAAAGUACUCCGGUUUGAUUUAUAAUAACUUCUAAACAAGUAAAGCUAUCAAACAGAAAUAACUUGCAUUAAAUAGAGGAAGGACUAACUUAGAUUUUGAUAUAUUACAGUUGUAUUUUACUUAAAAAUUCACGGAGAUAUUAAUGUUCAAAAUCGGGAGCAUAUUUUGGGAUGUGUCUAAAAUUAGCGAAAAUCGGCAUAUCAAAUAUUAACUCCAGCGUUUGUUUGUUUAAUGACAUAUCAGGCUAACUUGUAUUUCAGCGAAUUGUCGUCAGGGAUUGUAUAAGGAUAUGGCGUAGAUUUAGACAUCUUACAUCUAAGCUCAUUGUUUCCUGAAAUAUAAACGUUCGUAUUAUAUUACGAAAUAUAAACGUAAAGUAUUUAAUAGGUCUUUAAUACAAACUUAAAGGUACAUGAAAGACCAUUCAAGGCAGGCGCUUAAAUUUUUCUUAAAUAGCCUAUAGUUUUUAUGCUUUUCAUGGAAUAUUGUGGGAUGGAAAAUUAUUGAUACUAUUAGACAAUAUGGGGGGGGUGGCUAAUUGGCAUUCGAUAUUUUUCAGUACUGCAAUAACCUACAUUCGGUAUUUCUGUGUUUUUAGACUUCAGAUACUGUGGCAUGUGAAACAUGUAGGAAUAGGUGUAAGCAGCAAAGAGCCUCAUUUCGUUUUGGGAGUUGUGAGAUCCCUUUCAUCCACCAGAAAAAAAACUGAACCAUCCAUUGUUGAGAAAAAUUAUUACUGGAUAUUUCAUUCAAGGUAACAUAAUUUCCUUACUUCUUAAGGUACAGUACGGCU